AGAGUCUUAGUUUAAGGUAAAAACUCCUGUAUUGCAAUCAGGUGAUGUGGUGUAGCCGCAGAUUCUG
rnacentral:tRNA from 1 species